AUGAGAAGCGCGUCAGGGCUUGUUGGCCUGCAGUUUGUUCAAACCUGGAGCGGGAGGCCCCGGCGCAAACAUCGUCUCCACCUCGGGGCCACCUCGACGCAUCUUAUCACGCUAACCUUGGUCUGCACCAGUAAACUAGGAGAUGACGGGUUGGUCAAAGAGAAGGAAGAUGUCUCUGAGGAGGAGCAGCAACGAAUUGAGAAGGUUCUCGAUAAGCUUUGCCCUCCACGUGGUGUAGAAUUUCUUCAAAUCAUGGGAUAUUUUGGCCGGCAACUCCCGAGCUGGAUGAUUUCCACAUCAAUGGCGUCCCUCAACAACCUGAAGACUUUAUUGUUUGAUGACCUGGCUUGUUGCAGACAACUUCCCAAUGGGUUGUGCCAGCUCCCAAAUCUGCAGCUCCUACAGUUGUUCAAGAUGCUGGUAUGGGAGGAGUGGGAGUGGGAGGAGCAAGUACAAGCCAUGCGCCGUUUGGAGAACCUUGCGCUCUGUGAUUGCAAACUGAGGCAUUUUCCUCUAGGCCUUGCCUCAAAUGCAAGCUCUUUGAAAAUAUUAGGUCUACAUUAUGUCAAGCAGCUCAGCUACAUUGAGAGCUUUCCUUCCGUUGUUGAGCUUUUACUGAAUGGAUGCCCCGAUCUGGAGAGGAUCACCAAUCUCCCCAAUCUGCAGAAGCUUGCCAUCGCCAAGUGCCCAAAGUUGAAGAAAGAAGAUGCUCUUUCUUAG
rnacentral:rRNA from 1 species